GUCCACGCUGUAAACGAUGGGUUCUAGGCGUCGGGGGAGCGACCCCUUCGGUGCCGUCGCUAACGCAAUAAGCACCCCGCCUGGGGAGUACGGUCGCAAGACUGAAACUCAAAGGAAUUGACGGGGGCCCGCACAAGCGGUGGAGCAUGUUGUUUAAUUCGAAGCAACGCGAAGAACCUUACCUUGGCUUGACAUGCACGGGAAAGCCGGUGGAAACAUCGGCCCCUCUUCGGAGUCCGUGCACAGGUGCUGCAUGGCUGUCGU
rnacentral:rRNA from 1 species